UACAGAGGGUGCAAGCGUUGUUCGGAAUUAUUGGGCGUAAAGGGCGCGUAGGCGGUGCGGUAAGUCACCUGUGAAAUCUCCGGGCUUAACUCGGAGCCUGCAGGCGAAACUACCGUGCUGGAGUGUGGGAGAGGUGCGUGGAAUUCCCAGUGUAGAGGUGAAAUUCGUAGAUAUUGGGAAGAACACCAGUGGCGAAGGCGGCUAUCUGGACGGUUAC
rnacentral:rRNA from 1 species